UGCUAUUGAAACUAUAGAGAAGAAGAUCUUAUUCUGCAAUGUAGACAAUGUGAUAGAUGGAUGCAUGCAGUUCGUCAGAACUUAAAUACUGAGGAAGAAGUGGAAAAUGUAGCAGACAUUGGUUUUGAUUGUAACAUGUGCAGACCCUAUAUGCCUGCGUCUAAUGUGCCUUCCUCAGACUGCUGUGGAUCUUCACUUGUAGCACAAAUUGUCACAAAAGUAAAAGAGCUAGGGAUGACUCAGUUACAGAGCCUCACAGUUGCAGUUCCAAGAAGAAAACUGUCAAAACCAAAACUGAAAUUGAAGAUUAUAAAUCAGAAUAGCGUGGCCAUCCUUCAGACCCCUCCAGACAUCCAAUCAGAACAUUCAAGGGAUGGUGAUAUGGAUG
rnacentral:lncRNA from 1 species